rnacentral:lncRNA from 10 species
ACGCGUGCGCGGAGGGGCUGCGCUACCCGGUCUUGGGUUUUUCAUCGGGGAGUGGGAGUGGACUGAAGGCUUGGCCGCUCCGCCUCACUGAGCCGGCUCAGCCAGCGCAGCUGUUCCUGGAACGCCAGUCCCUUAGGAUGGGAGAGAGCGGAGAAGGCAAAGAGGAACAGACUGGGAAAGAGACUGGAUAGAUUCUAAUAUGGCUACAUCCUGGUGGGAGGCAGGACACUGAAGUACUUAGAACCCCUCAGAAUGGCCAGAUCCUGCUCAUGCUUGGGCUAGAAGAAUGGAACCUUUGUAAUUCUGGACUUGUAAAUGGAAACACAUCACUUACUGUGAACCACAUCCCAGACAGACAUGGGCAGGUGAAAACAAAUUCUUCCAGGAAUCCAAUCAUCAGACCUCCCAGAUAAUACCAAGGAAUUGAAACUCAGCAUCUGGACAAUGAGGAACCAGGCUCCUCACCCAUCAUGGUUGCCUAACCAACCACCUGCUUCCUGUUGACCAACUUCUCUUCUUUAUCAUGCCCCCAUCCUGUUUUCCUGUACGUAGUUAUAUUUCUGCUAUAUAAACUCCUAAUUUUAGUUGAUCAGGGAGAUGGAUUUGAGACUCAUCUCUCAUCUCCUCGGCUACAGCACCUGAAUAAAGCCUUCGUCUUUGACAAUACUCAUUGGCUUUCUGUGCAGCAAGCACCAGGGCUUAGACUGAACACCUGGUGUUUAACAAACUAUCUCCACUUUUCCACAUUGCUGGUAGUUAGCUUGCUUUGAUUUUUCUUGUUUUCUCCCUUUUGUAGGAUGUGGAGCAUUUAUGUGGUUGGGAACUACAGCAUAAUAGUUCUAAACUUCUCAAUGUGUAGAGGCAGGAGAUUUUCUUGGGAUACAAUUUGGGUAGCAGACAAUUCCAAAGUAUCCAAUUUUCACAAAGUUGUAUCAGUACAGUUGCCUGCUGAAUCUGGCACAUAUUUUUCACAUAAACUUCUUCAAUAAAUUUAGUUUCAUUUUUAGUAGAACAGUGGCCAUGAGACCUACAGUCCCAAGAUUACUAAUGGUGCUGUUUCACAUACAAAGUCAGCAAUGGACAGAAACUCCUAUAACCACUAGGGCAGGCACUGCUUUCUGCAUGACACACAUCAGGUUUUUCCUCUUCCAUAAUAAAAAGACAGUGGGUAAAAUUUUCUGUAUGAUAUUUGUCUUUCUGUUUGUGAUUUGUAUUAUUUGUAUCUUUAACUCAACAAAAUAUUUGCUCUUGUACAUUCAUUUAUUACCUGUGGCUUUAAUGAGCUCUGUGUUAAUGGAGUCUUACAGUGAAAACAUCAUGCACUACUUUGAACAGUGAGGGGUAAAAGGUGGAAAAUAAUUAGUAUCUAUUUUAGGCCUGGUGGUCCAUCAGCGUCAACAGGAAGAGAGGGGAGCAGAAACAAAGUAAUGAGGAAAGGACUUUGCCCAGUAGGAUGCAGACUUAAUUAAUUCACCCCAAGCUAACCUGAAAAGAGUGGAAAAUGAACUCAAGAAUAAGAACAUGUUCAGAUUCCUGUGUGUAUAUUUUACUAAGCUUAUUUUAUCAGAAGUUUUGUCUUAACCCUUUAGGACACUACCCUAGCUUAUUUUAAU